AGAGUGUAAUUCCAUUUGAAGAUC
rnacentral:siRNA from 1 species